rnacentral:rRNA from 1 species
GACAGAGGGUGCAAACGUUGUUCGGAAUUACUGGGCAUAAAGCGCACGUAGGUGGUCCGCUAAGUCGCGUGUGAAAUCCCCCGGCUCAACCGGGGAAAUGCGCGUGAUACUGGCGGGCUUGAGAUCGGGAGGGGUGAAUGGAACUCCAGGUGGAGCGGUGAAAUGCGUAGAUAUCUGGAGGAACACCGGUGGCGAAAGCGGUUCACUGGCCCGACACUGACACUGAGGUGCGAAAGCUAGGGUAGCAAAC